GUGGGGAAUAUUGGACAAUGGGGGGAACCCUGAUCCAGCCAUGCCGCGUGUGUGAAGAAGGCCUUUUGGUUGUAAAGCACUUUAAGCGAGGAGGAGGCUACCGAGAUUAAUACUCUUGGAUAGUGGACGUUACUCGCAGAAUAAGUACCGGCUAACUCUGUGCCAGCAGCCGCGGUAAUACAGAGGGUGCAAGCGUUAAUCGGAUUUACUGGGCGUAAAGCGCGCGUAGGUGGCCAAUUAAGUCAAAUGUGAAAUCCCCGAGCUUAACUUGGGAAUUGCAUUCGAUACUGGUUGGCUAGAGUAUGGGAGAGGAUGGUAGAAUUCCAGGUGUAGCGGUGAAAUGCGUAGAGAUCUGGAGGAAUACCGAUGGCGAAGGCAGCCAUCUGGCCUAAUACUGACACUGAGGUGCGAAAGCAUGGGGAGCAAACAGGAUUAGAAACCCCAGUAGUCC
rnacentral:rRNA from 1 species